rnacentral:rRNA from 1 species
GACGAACGCUGGCGGCGUGCUUAACACAUGCAAGUCGAACGGUAAGGCUCCAGCUUGCUGGGGUACACGAGUGGCGAACGGGUGAGUAACACGUGGGUGACCUGCCCUGCACUUCGGGAUAAGCCUGGGAAACUGGGUCUAAUACCGGAUAGGACCGCACCGUGAGGGUGUGGUGGAAAGUUUUUUCGGUGUGGGAUGGGCCCGCGGCCUAUCAGCUUGUUGGUGGGGUAAUGGCCUACCAAGGCGGCGACGGGUAGCCGGCCUGAGAGGGUGGACGGCCACAUUGGGACUGAGACACGGCCCAGACUCCUACGGGAGGCAGCAGUGGGGAAUAUUGCACAAUGGGCGGAAGCCUGAUGCAGCGACGCCGCGUGGGGGAUGACGGCCUUCGGGUUGUAAACUCCUUUCACCAUCGACGAAGGGUUUCUGACGGUAGAUGGAGAAGAAGCACCGGCUAACUACGUGCCAGCAGCCGCGGUAAUACGUAGGGUGCGAGCGUUGUCCGGAAUUACUGGGCGUAAAGAGCUCGUAGGUGGUUUGUCGCGUCGUCUGUGAAAUUCCGGGGCUUAACUCCGGGCGUGCAGGCGAUACGGGCAUAACUUGAGUACUGUAGGGGAGACUGGAAUUCCUGGUGUAGCGGUGAAAUGCGCAGAUAUCAGGAGGAACACCGGUGGCGAAGGCGGGUCUCUGGGCAGUAACUGACGCUGAGGAGCGAAAGCAUGGGGAGCGAACAGGAUUAGAUACCCUGGUAGUCCAUGCCGUAAACGGUGGGCGCUAGGUGUGGGUUUCCUUCCACGGGAUCCGUGCCGUAGCUAACGCAUUAAGCGCCCCGCCUGGGGAGUACGGCCGCAAGGCUAAAACUCAAAGGAAUUGACGGGGGCCCGCACAAGCGGCGGAGCAUGUGGAUUAAUUCGAUGCAACGCGAAGAACCUUACCUGGGCUUGACAUAUACAGGAUCGCGCCAGAGAUGGUGUUUCCCUUGUGGCUUGUAUACAGGUGGUGCAUGGUUGUCGUCAGCUCGUGUCGUGAGAUGUUGGGUUAAGUCCCGCAACGAGCGCAACUCUUGUCUUAUGUUGCCAGCACGUUGUGGUGGGGACUCGUAAGAAACUGCCGGGGUUAACUCGGAGGAAGGUGGGGAUGACGUCAAAUCAUCAUGCCCCUUAUGUCCAGGGCUUCACACAUGCUACAAUGGUCGGUACAGUGGGUUGCCAGUCCGUGAGGGCGAGCUAAUCCCGCAAAGCCGGUCUCAGUUCGGAUCGGGGUCUGCAACUCGACCCCGUGAAGUCGGAGUCGCUAGUAAUCGCAGAUCAGCAACGCUGCGGUGAAUACGUUCCCGGGCCU